rnacentral:lncRNA from 1 species
UUUUCAAGGGUCAAAAUAUAGGGCUGUGCGGCAUAUUUUCAACGUUUAUAUGUCCUGAACUUCUCAGAGUUUAAACUAACACUAAUUUUCGUAACUACCCCUACCUCGUUUCCACAAAUCUCAAUGUAAACAAUAUGCAAAUGUAAAUGUACUGGUAACAUUCCCAAGUUGUGUCUCUGUGAGAUGGAACCCAGAGAGCAUAACUGGGAACCAGUAUGUAAACAAAAUUAAUUUUCUAUGAAUAUUCAAGAUCUCCCCAAAAGAGGCGUGUUUUGAGAAACAGCUGUAUUUACAAAGUGCAACCUAUAA